UACAGAGGUGGCAAGCGUUGUUCGGAAUUACUGGGCGUAAAGGGCGCGUAGGCGGCUUGGUCAGUCCCGUGUGAAAUCCCUCGGCUCAACUGAGGAACUGCACGGGAAACUGCCUGGCUUGAGUUCGGGAGAGGGAAGCGGAAUUCCGGGUGUAGCGGUGAAAUGCGUAGAGAUGUGGAGGAACACCUGCGGCGAAGGCGGGUUGCUGGGCUGACACUGACGCUGAGGCGCGAAAGCUAGGGGAGCGAACGGG
rnacentral:rRNA from 1 species